AAUCUGGUUGAUCCUGCCAGUCGUAUGCUGAUUUCAAAGGCUAAGCCAUGCACGUGUUGGAUUUCUUUGAGACAAAUCACACAAUCGGUCUGCGAAUGGCUCAUUACGACAGCUGUAAUUCUGAACGACGUAUUGCCACUGCUUUGCUUAUGAAGAGAGAGUUAAUCGAAAUGGUAUGCAUGGGAAAUUGAUACGCGGCCCAUAGCAUACAAACGCAUUCAGGAUGAUGGUGAAAUGAGAAUUCCAAAAGACCAGCAUUUGGUUUUGUGAAAAAGCAACCUGACCCCGUGUGGAAUGCUGAUGGAGAUUUUGGAAUCGAUUCGUUCUGGAAUGUGUGUGAAAAGCAGAAGAAAACCCACAGCUUUGCUUGAAAAACGAUAUUCAAAGCUGUGUGUGGGUGGUUUAUCUUCCAGAUUUCCCUUCUCAGUGCUGAAAGUGGGGACAACUCUUUGAAACAGUUGGCCAAUACAUGUGGAAUUAGCUAUCUUGAAAGAAGCUCACUCAAUCUCAUCAUCUUAAUUGGUGGAUGAGUUUGUUGAAUCGCAUUUGAUCGAAACAAAGGCUUACUCCUCAAUGUGUGUUUCUCGACCAUGCAAAAACUGUGGCUAAAAUGUGAUGAACGGUUUUACGAUGGUUAAACACGGAUUUGAAAAGCUUUGUGGUUUGAUGAAUCAGAUCAAUGCUGGAACCUUCAGAAAACUUCAUGAUGGAAACGAGCAAGGAAAAGAGGCAUAUGUGAUGUGUGGAUAGUUUUGUGCUGAUUAUCCACACAAAUCAGAGGAAAGAGAAAGUAAGCCAGCUUUCUCAGGAGAAGAGAACUCAAUGCGCAAAAAAAAGCGGGAGAGUUGUGUGCACAAGAUAUAGUGGAGAACAAAAAAAAAGCAGAAAAAAGCACACACUGUGAAAAUGCGCCCCAGAUAGUGGGGGAGAAGAUGGUGUCUCUCUCUCUUUCCUCAUGAAGUGGUUUCUCUUGAAAGGUUGAAAAGUGAGCGAUAGCAAACUUCCCAAGUCGUUUGUAAUUGGAUGUGUGUUGCUGAAUCGUUUGAGCAGCUGCCCUAUCAGCCAUGGAUGAUGGUACAUGGAACCGAUAUGGCAGUGACGGGUAACGCGGAAUGAGGGUUCGAUUCCGGAGAGGGAGCCUGAAAUAUGGCGACCACAGCUAAGGUUGGCAGCAGGCGCGCAAAUUGCCCAAUCACAAUGUUCUGGAUGAGGCAGUGACGAAACAUGGCACACUGUGUUGACUUAUUUGGUUGACCAGUGUGAAAUGGAUGAGAUCCUAAAUCAUGCAAUGAGCAUCAACUUGAGGACCAGUCUGGUGCCAGCACCCGCGGUAAUUCCAGCUCAAGUGGCGUACACUGAUGUCGUUGCUGUUGAAAAGCUCGUAGUUGAAAGUACAGGAUGGAGCUCAAUAGUUCGAUGUCCGUUUUGAGCAAACGGGAGCAGAAAACCUGAUCUUGUAUUUUUGCAUGGUUUUCUUCUUUAUGCAUCGUUCUACCAUUCUGCUCCAAUGUCCAUGUACAAAAUUGUUCUAUGCAGAGAUUGGAAAUGACCCAUGGAAGCGAAUUCUCUCAACCCUCAAAGGGGGAAAAACAGGAUUUGGAAACUUCGAAAAACGAUUCCAGAUCUGUUCUUUUUGUAGCAUCUUCCUUACCGCCGAUGCAAGCUUGUCUUUGAAAUCCUGGAGAUUUUGACAACUGUGAAAUUCGAGAUCGUCCGUGAUUCGUUACCGUGACUAAAUCAGAGUACUACAAGCAGUUACGCUUCUUUUUCUCUUUCCAAAUUUGGGUUGAGAAAAACUUCCUCAUUUUUGGUGUGAGCGCUUCAAAGAAACGUGCAAUCGACUGUAUGCUCAAGUGCGAUAUAACAAGGGAUCGUCCAAGUGUUGGUACCUUCAGGUCUCUUUUCUCUCUGUGAAAAAGCAAGAGAAUAGAUGUACCUGAUUCUCAUUUGUUCUGGAUGUCUUUGUGACCCACUUUUACAUCAGCUCUUUGUGGUUGAAUGUUGGAGAACUUGGGAAUUACGAACAAACUCAGGAAAGUCCCGUUUUUGGUGAAUGCCGAACUUGCUGUUGAUGCGAAAAAGCUUCUCUUUGAAAUUGGUAUUCAUUGUGGGGAUCAUUUCCCGUUCUUCCCUUGUGAUGACCGAGGUCUUUGUAUGGCAUGGGAACUCAUCCGCGAGCGGUGAAAUGCUUAGACCGGAUGAGGACCACCAAAGGCGAAAGCACGUGCCGACAUUGUACCUGCCAAUCAAGAACGAGAGUGUGGGGAUCGAAGAUGAUCAGAUACCGUCAUAGUCCACUGCUGUAAACCAUGCCAACUGGGAAACGGACAAGCGUUCCCCACGGAAUGUCUUGUUCGGUUCUUCCCACUCCUCUGAACGAGAAAUCCAAGUGUAUGGGUUCAGGGGGGAGUAUCGUCGCAAGGCUGAAACUUAAAGGAAUUGACGGAGUGGCACCACAAGGCGUGGAGUGUGCGGCUUAAUUUGACUCAACACGGGAAACUUUACCAGAUCAGAUCGAGAGUCGGGAUUGACAGCGGUGAAGUCCUUUCAUGAACUCCGCAAAGGUGGUGCAUGGUCGCUUCUGGUUGGUGAAGUGAUUUGUCUGGUUGAUUCCGAUAACGAACGAGGUCUCUGCCAUGCAGUAGUCCACUGCAAGAAAAUCUUAUCAUGGUUGUGUGUGAAAAAGCAUAUGACUGUGGUGUGAUCUGUAUGUCGCUGUAGAGAAUUCAAUGCGCUAUUGAUACAAAUGUGUUUUAAAGGAAUUGGCAAAACUGGUGUACUUUCGGAUGACCAAUGGAAAAGCAGCUCGAGACAACCCGUGAAACAUCCCAUGCUUCUACAUGGGAUCGUCAACGUUUCUCUUCAAUGAUCAAGUCAGCUGAAACUGGAGCCGACAGCAGGUCUGUGAUGCCCUUAGAUGUUCUGGACCGCACGCGCACGACAAUGACGUUAUCCACGUGUGCACUUCUUGAAAAGUCGUUAUCUGUUGGUUCGUUCAAUUCUUGAUUGGGAAAAAUCCCUCGGUUGUGAAUUUGUUGGAAUAGAAUUGUGUUCAUUUAUCUGGAUUACGAGGAAAAAGGUAGAAAACGCUCCUGUUUUGAGAAUGGAAUGGGAAAUCCCAUGAAUCUAUGUCGUGAUGGGGAUCGGUAAUUGCUACUGUUUACCUUCAAAGAGGAAUGCCUAGUACGAACAAGUCAUCAGCUUGUGCGGAUUUUGUCUCUGCCAUUUGUACACACCGCCCGUCGUUGCUACCGAUGAUGAUAUAAUAAAGACCAGAGGAGAUCAGCUUUUUUGUGGUGCAAAAACUUUCGUGGAGGUGCAAAUCUGUCCAAUAUUACCUCGUUCGAGGAAGCAAAAGUGCUAACAAGGUUGCUGUAGGUGAACCUGCAGAAGGAUCA
rnacentral:rRNA from 1 species